rnacentral:rRNA from 1 species
AUUGAACGCUGGCGGCAGGCCUAACACAUGCAAGUCGAACGGUAGCACAGAGAGCUUGCUCUCGGGUGACGAGUGGCGGACGGGUGAGUAACGUCUGGGAAACUGCCCGAUGGAGGGGGAUAACUACUGGAAACGGUAGCUAAUACCGCAUAACGUCGCAAGACCAAAGUGGGGGACCUUCGGGCCUCACACCAUCGGAUGUGCCCAGAUGGGUUUAGAUAGUCGGUGGGGUAAUGGCUCACCUAGGCGACGAUCCCUAGCUGGUCUGAGAGGAUGACCAGCCACACUUGAACUGAGACACGGUCCAGACUCCUACGGGAGGCAGCAGUGGGGAAUAUUGCACAAUGGGCGCAAGCCUGAUGCAGCCAUGCCGCGUGUAUGAAGAAGGCCUUCGGGUUGUAAAGUACUUUCAGCGGGGAGGAAGGCGGUGAAGUUAAUAACUUCACCGAUUGACGUUACCCGCAGAAGAAGCACCGGCUAACUCCGUGCCAGCCGCCGCCGUAA